CACGUAGGGGGCAAGCGUUGUCCGGAUUUAUUGGGCGUAAAGAGCUCGUAGGCGGCUUGUUGCGUCGACCGUGAAAACCCGGGGCUCAACUUCGGGCUUGCGGUCGAUACGGGCGGGCUAGAGUUCGGUAGGGGAGACUGGAAUUCCUGGUGUAGCGGUGAAAUGCGCAGAUAUCAGGAGGAACACCGGUGGCGAAGGCGGGUCUCUGGGCCGAUACUGACGCUGAGGAGCGAAAGCGUGGGGAGCGAACAGG
rnacentral:rRNA from 1 species